GCUUUCCCUUUCUUCUAGACAUUGUUCUUCUUUCCACAUUGUUUCUGCAUGGUUAAUUAUAAUCUUCAUAUCAUGAAGAAAAUAAGUCCUUUGUUACUGUUAUGCAGUUUUCUGGGAGAAUGCAAAAGAUUUGUACCUUCCUGGUUUUUCAGAUCAGGGGUCAUGAAUAAACUGCUUCACAAGAAUGGAUUGAUUCAGAAACCGCACCUGGCUUUUCCGGAGUAUCAGAGGCAAAUGCAGGAAAAUUUACUGGUCUGAAUACUCUUCAGAGACCUAUAUGACGUGAUGUACAGUGAUGGGAAGAAUGUUUUGUAUGGUGUAAAAGACACACUAGACAUGGAAUAUAGGUCCUUGAAGAAACGUUCAAAGGAAAUGUCAAGGAAGAUUCUUACGAGGCUGAGAUUCCAAAGGAUAAUCAUCAUACCCAUCAAUGAGGUGCUUAGGAUCACAUCGUGUUUUAUUUGGGCAAGCACGCAUUUUGUAGUGAGUUACAUAUCUCGCCUGCCUAAACUGAUGCAAGAUUCAAGAAUAAAUCCAUCACGGGUACAUACAGAGCUCCUUCUUGCUAUGGAGAACCUAUUCCUUCUGUUCUAUAUUUGUCUAAACCCUUAACCACGAUUACCGAAACUAAUGAACAAUGACAAGUAGCUAAAACCAAGUUGAUGGGUAACAUCCCUUGCUUUUGGCCCUUGAGAAGAUCUCAUGGGUGACUAUGCCCUCCCAUCAGGGGAUGGUAAACAACAAGCCAACAACACACUUCCCUAUAUUAUUAUUAUCGUUUUGAUUGGUUACAGACUUCCCUAUGGACUUGGAUCUUUCAAAAAGCUGGAGUAUGAGAGUAGGAUACUCAUGUAAGGGAAAGGCUUACGGUUCCCCAUUUCCUGAAACUUGAAAGCUAAAUCUACUGGGAAUUUGAACUCUAGAAAGUUGGUUGUUUAGGACUCCUAGUGAACCAUACAAAUGGAGCAGAAAAAAAAUA